GACGAACGCUGGCGGCGUGCUUAACACAUGCAAGUCGAACGGAAAGGCCUUUUCGGAGGUACUCGAGUGGCGAACGGGUGAGUAACACGUGGGUGAUCUGCCCUGCACUCUGGGAUAAGCCUGGGAAACUGGGUCUAAUACCGGAUAGGACCGCACUUUAGUGUGUGUGGUGGAAAGUUUUUUCGGUGUAGGAUGAGCCCGCGGCCUAUCAGCUUGUUGGUGGGGUAAUGGCCUACCAAGGCGGCGGCGGGUAGCCGGACUGAGAGGGUGGUCGGGCACAUUGGGACUGGGCUACGGCCCAGACUCCUACGGGAGGCAGCAGUGGGGAAGAUUGCACAAUGGGCGCAAGCCUGAUGCAGCGACGCCGCGUGGGGGAGGACGGCCUUCGGGUUGUAAACUCCUUUCGCCAGGGACGAAGCGUUUUGUGACGGUACCUGGAGAAGAAGCACCGGCUAACUACGUG
rnacentral:rRNA from 1 species